CUUUGCAGCAGAGCAAGCUCAAGGGCUACCAGGUAUCAGUCCACCAUAUACAAUAAUCCUGUGGAGUAGUGUCCACCUUCAAAGCAACCUAUUCGCCUCGUUCACUGUGGCUUCUUUUUUCAUGGUUUUUUGAUACCAAAUUUGUGAGAACAUGCUUCCACCAAUGUUUUGGUAUGUCACUAGCAAAUGCAACAACUAACAUAGCAUUGAUGGAUUAGACAUCUUAGUUUCUAAUUGACUAAAGAACACAGCUUUUUCGUUUACUGUUGGUAUUUAAGCAAUUUAAUGUCCUCUUAGGCAGAUUUGGAAACUUCAAAGGAAGGUCUUGAGCUAUAAUAAGCCAUUGAUAAUUUGACUGCCUUUAGGUUUAACUCAUCCCCUAGGGUUGGCUGUAAUCAAGUUGUGUUGGUUGUUUGUCCCAGUAAGUUGUGAUAUUUUAAGGAGGAUUUGCAUCUUGGUCUCUCCAAAAUUUGAUACUCAUUCCUUUGUUAUUAUCUGAAUUAUUUUUAUUCAAUCGCCUCUCCUUUCCUGAAUCAA